rnacentral:lncRNA from 1 species
GGACUGAGAUACGCCCUGGUCUCCUGCAGAACCCUCAGGCUUACUAGGGUGGGGAAAAACUCUGCCCUGGUAAACUUGUGGUCUGACCACUUCUCUGCUCUCAAACCCUGUUUUCUGUUGUUUAAGAUGUUUAUCAAGACAAUACGUGCACUGCUAAACAUAGACCCUUAUCAGUGGUUCUGCUUUUGCCCUUUGUCUUGUUCCCUCAGAAGCAUGUGAUCUUUGUUCUGCUUUUUGCACUCAGAAGCAUGUGACUUUUUACCUACUCCUUAUUCUUACACCCCCUCCCCUUUUGAAACCCUUAAUAAAAACUUGUUGGUCUGA